GAAGUUGACCAGACAGUCGCUGCUUCGUCGUCGUCCCCCCGGGGAGACAGGCGGAGUGGAGGAAAGUCCGGGCUCCAUAGGGCAGGGUGCCAGGUAACGCCUGGGGGGCGUAAGCCUACGACCAGUGCAACAGAGAGCAAACCGCCGAUGGCCCGCAUAAGCGGGAUCAGGUAAGGGUGAAAGGGUGCGGUAAGAGCGCACCGCGCGGCUGGUAACAGUUCGCGGCACGGUAAACUCCACCCGGAGCAAGGCCAAAUAGGGGUUCACAUGGUACGGCCCGUACUGAACCCGGGUAGGCUGCUUGAGCCAGUGAGCGAUUGCUGGCCCAGAUGAAUGACUGUCCACGACAGAACCCGGCUUAUCGGUCAGCUUCAACU
rnacentral:RNase_P_RNA from 2 species